UACGUAGGGUGCGAGCGUUAAUCGGAAUUACUGGGCGUAAAGCGUGCGCAGGCGGUUUUGUAAGCCAGAUGUGAAAUCCCCGGGCUUAACCUGGGAAUGGCAUUUGGGACUGCAAGGCUUGAGUGCGGCAGAGGAGACUGGAAUUCCUGGUGUAGCAGUGAAAUGCGCAGAUAUCGGGAGGAACACCAAUGGCGAAGGCAGCUCGCUGGGACGU
rnacentral:rRNA from 1 species